UUUUUUUUAUAUACAGUAUGACGUGGCAAAUUACUUCAUUUUAAUUGGUUAAUCUAACCCAAGUAUUUUUCGUGAAUAUUAGGUAGUUCGAGCGGACAAAACGACCUAUGAACCAAACCGUUUUUUAUUGACGAUUCACUAAUGUAUUUGUAGUAGUGCAGUCUCAAGGAAAACAAAAGGAAACCAUAAUUGACAAAGUGCGGACUGUUUUUAUAUACAAAUAAAGUUUAUCCGUUACGGUUUGUUGUCCGUUCCAAAAUUAGAAUAGACUAACCCGCCAAUAGAUU
rnacentral:lncRNA from 1 species